CUACGCUUUAGCAGCUUAAUAACCUGCUAAGAGCCCUCUCUCCCUAGCUUCCGCUCUUAAGACGGGGAUCAAAGAGAGGUCAAACCCAAAAGAGAUCGCAUGGAUGUCCUGCCUGGGGCUGAAGUGUUAAAUCUAAUCAGGCUAGUUCGUUAGUGGCGUGUCUGUCCGCAGCUGGCGUGCGAAUGUAAAGACUGACUAAGCAUGUAGUACCGAGGAUGUAGAAAUUUCGGACGCGGGUUCAACUCCCGCCAGCUCCACCA
rnacentral:tmRNA from 1 species